rnacentral:lncRNA from 1 species
GGAAUUUUUGUCUGUGAAUUUGUGAUAAUACUAAAUAUUUGUUUUGAAAGAGGUUAUUUUGUUUCCAGCUUUCUGGAAUUCUUUUGGAAUGCAUCAGUCUUUUGGGUGGUGGGUCGGGGAAGGGAAUGGGGGUAACAUAGUUGUUGCUUUGUGUCAGAGAGCUGAAGAACCACCAAAGCUGAAUCCUCAGUGACAUGUGGCUGUGACUGAGAAGAUUCAGUGUGGCAGGAGUUUCAUGCACACUUCAAAAUAAUGGAAAACAGUUAUUGGGAAAAUGUCAUGUACUCACAGCUCGCUCUACAUGCAGCUUCUAAUCUUAUUUGUACAAGUACAGGCAAAAAUCUACUAACAACAGAUAUCGUCUCUUUCCCUUUGUUACCAUUUAGUAUUGAUCGCUGUGAGGGAAGGUUGACACGAAUCCCAAAAUGGGUUUAAUUACAAGUAUACACCGAAAAGUAAUUGGCAGAAUAAGUAAGGGGAUAGUUAGCGUGUUUCUUUUUACAGAACCACAAUAUUAUACUAGAGCAGCCAUAGUAAUCAACAAGGAAGAAAUUUAAAAAUGUGUAUAUUAGAGUCCCCAGUCCAAUUUAAAAUUCAUUUCUCCUUUCUUUUAGUCAAUUCCUACAAAAGCAUUCUAAUACCAUUUCUAUUAUCUUGCUAUGCAUGUCACUGCCCACUCAAUAAAUGCUGAAAUAGAAAAUUAAAGUAGGAUGAGAUAUAGAAGAAAGAGAGUGAGUAGUAUGGUUUCCCCACUAAAUAGCAUGAGGAAGCUAUUCUAGUGUGAUAUAAGACAUAUUAUAACCACAUAUAUAAACAUUUUUGCAUUUUGCCAGCCUUCAGAUAGCCCCCAAAAUUCAGCUUAGUGAUAUCUUCUCUACUGAUGGUUUUUAUAUUGUAAAUAGAACAAGUUUCAAAAAUAAGAAUCUGAAAUUUCAUUUCAUAAUAUGCUUCUUUCCUCAUCAGUCGAUUAUGUUUCCACUAUCUCACUUUGUUCUGGGGACACAAAUUGGUUUCUCAGGUCAUGCUGUUAUUAAUAUGAUUUUUUAAAAAUAAUUGAAUUUAACACCAAGGGAAGGGAGGGGGCCUGAAUAAUCCCUGAGGAGUAGUAGAAUAGCACAUGGGAC